CAAAGGCUUGGUCCUGACUUUAAUGUCAACUUUAGCUAGACUUACACAUGCAAGUAUCCGCACCCCUGUGAGAAUGCCCUAAGUUCUCUGUUCGAGAACAAGGAGCCGGUAUCAGGCACCUCUUAUACAUUAAGCCCACGACACCUUGCUCAGCCACACCCUCAAGGGAACUCAGCAGUGAUCAACAUUAAGCAAUGAGUGAAAGCUCGACUUAGUCAAAGCUAAUUAAGAGUCGGUAAAAUUCGUGCCAGCCACCGCGGUUAUACGAGAGACUCAAGUUGACAAUCAACGGCGUAAAGCGUGGUUAAGGAAGACCUGUAAAACUAAAGCCGAACACUUUCCAAGCUGUCAUACGCUCUCGAAAGUAAGAAGCCCGAUCACGAAAGUGGCUUUAUCCUACCUGAACCCACGAAAGCUAAGACACAAACUGGGAUUAGACACCCCACUAUGCUUAGCCAUAAACAUCGAUGGCCACAACACCCCUGCCAUCCGCCCGGGAACUACGAGCAUCAGCUUAAAACCCAAAGGACUUGGCGGUGCUUAAGAUCCACCUAGAGGAGCCUGUUCUAGAACCGAUAAUCCCCGUUCAACCUCACCCCUUCUUGCCCAUUCCGUCUAUAUACCGCCGUCGUCAGCUUACCCUUUGAGGGUAAAACAGUAAGCAAAAUUGGCAAAGCCCAAAACGUCAGGUCGAGGUGUAGCGUAUGAAGGGGGAAGCUUAUGGGCUACAUUCACUAUCAUAGUGAAAUACGGACGAUGAUGCUGAAACGCACAUCCAAAGGAGGAUUUAGCAGUAAGUGAGAAUCAGAGCGUCCCACUGAAACUGGCCCUAAAGCGCGCACACACCGCCCGUCACUCUCCCCGGGCUAAAAUUUACAUAUAUUUAAUACCCAGCACCUGCACAAGGGGAGGCAAGUCGUAACAUGGUAAGUGUACCGGAAGGUGCACUUGGAACAAC
rnacentral:rRNA from 1 species